rnacentral:rRNA from 1 species
CCUACGGGGGGCUGCAGUGAGGAAUAUUGGUCAAUGGGCGAGAGCCUGAACCAGCCAUGCCGCGUGCAGGAAGACGGCCCUACGGGUUGUAAACUGCUUUUGUUUGGGAAGAAAAGGCGCUACGUGUAGUGCACUGACGGUACCAGAUGAAUAAGCAUCGGCUAACUCCGUGCCAGCAGCCGCGGUAAUACGGAGGAUGCGAGCGUUAUCCGGUUUUAUGGGUUUUAAGGCGUGUGUAUACGUCAGGCUAGAAAUCCCCCAGCUUAACUGGGGAACUGCCAUAGAUACUGGUUUUCUUGAGUACAGUUGAAGUAGGCGGAAUGUGUAAUGUAGCGGUGAAAUGCUUAGAUAUUACACAGAACACCGAUUGCGAAGGCAGCUUGCUAAGCUGUUACUGACGCUGAUGCACGAAAGCGUGGGGAGCGAACAGGAUUAGAUACCCGGGUAGUC